rnacentral:piRNA from 1 species
UGCUUCAGAAAUGUCCUGUGAAACUCGCC